ensembl:lncRNA
UUCUGCAGACAAUCAGUUAGCAAAGCUGUUAGGUAAACUUGCUCCUUCACUGUUGAAAAAAUAAAUAUUCAUGAAUCUUGCAGCCACAUUUUUCCAUGUUUUAUAAUGGAGUCAAAGACGAUGAAGGAUUUUAGAGCUAAUAAUUUAACCAGAGAGAUAAGGAUGGGGGCCCAGAUCCUGAAAACAGUGGGAGCUGGGAUCCUAAAUUGUACUGGAUCUCGGAGCUCACAGGGAAAACCACCCUCACCCACCCUGCAGGAGGAGCACAAUGGCACAAUGGCACCCUCUGUUGCCCUGCGCGCUGCUCCCACGUGGAUGUAUGAACUCCUGAAAGUAUCCAUUCCCCAUCUCCAAAUCUCAUCUCUUCCCGCCGAGCUUCCUUGUUUGUUUGGAGUUAUCCUGUUAUUUCCAUUUGUAAUAAAACCCGUCUUGUUCUUUUUGUGCUGAGUGGAGAAACAUCGAGAGGAUUGUCACGCUCAUUUCAUGAACAGUUGGCCUCCUGUCCCCAUUUUGUCCUCCCUAAGUGGCAGCUCCUUGCAACAGUUGUAUUAACAACUGAGCUCAGCCCUGCAAAGUGGUGGGCAUUUCCAGCGUUAACUGGAAAGCAAUUAGUCUUGAUGAGAUUGGGCUGUCCAACUCUCAGACAAUUAAUUAAAUUACAGCUUGUCUUUCAUUUGGUUAAACAAAAACUUGAUUCAUUAAUUAAAAUACACUGUGAAUCUGAUUUUUUGCUCUGAUCCUCUGUGUGUUCGUAAGCAAACAACAAGUUCCUUUUAGGAACCAAAACAAAAUUCCUUCUGGAGCAUGACAAGUUUUCACUCCUAAUCACCUUGUAUCCAUGUGAACACACUUUAAUUGCUCAUUAACACAAAGUUAGCGGGCUGACACACAACUAGCUGCUUCUUUUGGACUUCUCUAACAGUAACUUUUUUGUGUGUGUCUCGUAAGGAGACCAGACGUUUCUCAGAAUCAAUCAACUUUUUCUGUGUUUUACUUCCAUGCCAUGCUGUAAAGGAUUGUACAGUUGCCUUGCUGUAAUGUUAUUAUUCAGGACUGAUUUUACUGUGAUGGCAUAAGAGGAAUUAGACAUGUCCAUUCUAUUGUUGUUGAUAUGACUGUGCCUAUUUUCCCCAUAUGCAGUCUGAAACAAUUAUCAGAAGCAGUACAUAGAACUCAUCACUUAGAAAUGAUUACUUAGAAGUCAUUAGAUGUUGUUAAUGUGAACAGAUUUUUGUAAAAGCCACGUUUUGUGCAGGACUGGUUAUUUUUAGAUAAAAAUAUUUAAACUGAAGAAGAGAUUUCAAUUUUUCAAAUUGUGAUGUACAGGAACUCAGUGAGAAUUAAAAAUCUGACAUAAGAUCCAGUAUAAAAAAAGUAUUUCAGUGCAUCUAUUUGACAAGCACAAAUGGUCUGUAAGUAUGUUGAAUUAUAACAAAAAAUGAGUUGGAAAUAUUUGGGAUACUCUGUCUGUUCAGUUUUAAGCAGCCUUACCUACUGUGCCAAUGACUUACAGUCAGGUUUGGAUUCUGUGUGCUCAUCAUCAGCUUUCAGGAUCCAUGCUACAUUUGCCUCCUUUGAUUCUGCAAAGAUUUUGUCAAGAAAUUGAACUGAAUUUUAUCCCAGGCCUCACAAAUACAACCAUGUUUGACAGUUGUGGGAAAGAAGGGGGUUCGAGCUGCAUCUAUUGUUUGUUCAGAAAUAUCUAAUUUCAUAAGUCAAAUUACUCGUAAUGAUUCCAUACUAAUUUGUUAUUUGAAUCCUUUGCAGGCCUACUUUCUCCCAGAUGAUGGGAGACAAGAGGAAUUGCCUAAGCUUUUGAUACUGUGUAGAUCUCUGCUGAAACACAUUCUGAUUGCUACUGAUCUAGACAUAUUUUUUUUCUUAUAAGCUUAAGCCCGCAAGCUUCAGAAUUUAGCAUAAAAGACCAGCUGUCACCUGAUUUUGUUGUUCUUUUUUUUAGAGAAACAAUUCAAUUUUAGGGGAAAAAAAGGCAACUCAAUGUUAAAAUGCCAAAGAAAAGCUUCUCUGAAAUGUAAACAAAACCAAAAUGACCAUACCUUAAAACAGCACAUUUCAACAGGAGUUGAAGUGUUCCUCCCUUCUGUUUUCUCAAACCGAAGUGCUGACAAAAUCAGUAUGUUUUCUGAAGUGUUUCAUUUUGAUCAGAUUUGCAUGUUUUGGUGAAAUAUGGAUCCAGUGAAGCGAUCCUGGCUGGCUGAAUGUGUUGUUUCUUUUGGUUUAUGGCAUCUGCGAGCCUAUCAAAACUGUCCCAGUCUUCCAUGAAUGGAGAAAUGAUUCCAGUUAAGUCAAAAAGAAAGAAAGAGAGAAAGAAAGAAAGAGAGAAAGAAAGAAAGAAAGAAAGAAAGAAAGAAAGAAAGAAAGAAAGAAAGAAAGAAAGAAAGAAAGAAAGAAAGAAAGAAAGAAAGAGAAAAAGAAAAAGAAAAAGAAAAAGAAAAAGAAAGAAAAAGAAAAACCAACCCUGAAGUGUUGUCACUCUUAUCCAGAAAACCAGGCCCAAGUGAACAUUCAGAAAAAGGAUAGAAAUAGAUGGAAGAGAUGUCAUUCCUUGUGAAGAAGGGGGGAAGUUUAGGUUAGAUGUUAGGAAGAAAUUCUUUUCUCAGAGGUUGGUGAGGCACUGGUACAGGCUGCCUGGUGAGUUGUAGAUGCCCCAUCCCUGGAAGUGCUGGAGGCCAGGUUGGAUGGGGCCAUGUGCAGCCUGAUCUGGUGUGGAGCAACCCAGCCCACAGCAAACGGCUAGGAGAGGAUGAACUUCAAGGUCCCUGCCAACCUAAGACAUUAUGUCAUUCUAUGAUUCUUUGAUUCUGUGCAGUCACCUGUCUUUGCAUGAUGGAGAAUACCAAUCCUCAGCCAAAGACAUCCUCAUUCCUUUUAUAUUUCCCUCACAUUUCCCUGUACACAUUUGCUACUGACUUGAUGUGGCAAAAAUGCCCAUUUGCACAAGCUGUGAGUCUUCUAGGGACUCCAUUGCCUGGCUUAUCACUUUAACAUCUGAUCUCAACUCUACUUUAAAAUUCAGAGCUGAAACAAAGGAUGCCAAACUAAACCAUGCACGUGUCCAUCUCCAGCUGAGAAGGGGACACGAAGAAAAGAAAUCUGUUGUCACCUCUGGAGAUGUGGUCCAUUUCCAAGCAAAAUCUGGGUACAAUGCAGCAGAAAGUCACCACGUGCCACGGAGUUGUUUCAGCCCUUAAAAAAAAACCAGAUUUGUUGAGGGUGACUCCUGUUUCCCCACUAGUACAUAAACAUUGUGUUUAGCUACACCAAUUCCCCAGGAGCGAUGAGCGUGCUGGCAGGUCAGGGGACCUGCUGUUGGGUUAUAUCAUUGUUAUGAGAGUCACACUGCUAAGAAGCUUUGAGUUGUACCCCAUGCUGAGAAUAAUCCAAAUAAUCUGCAACUCAAAGCAUCCCUCAUCAGGGAUCACUGUGAACACAGGCAAUUUCAGCUGACCCGAUGAGCUAAACAUAAACAUGUCAAGAUCUCAAUAGUACCAGAACAUUUGUUUUAAAUAUCCUGUGUGAAAUUGGUGCCAAUGGACAACAUCAAUCGUUUGCCAGAUGUUCUUUUCUCUAAUUUUACUGCAGAGCACAUACAAGUAUGUGCUGGAAUUAACAUGAUGACUGGGGAGAACACAGUAGCCAACCCUUGGUUUAUUGCAGCAGUGCAAAAGACAGUAAUUUCCAGGAAGAGAGAUUACUCCUGGUUCAAAAGACUGUGAGAUAUGCAUGCAGCCUCUCAAGGGAUAUAUAUAUCUCAUGCAAACAAAUAACAUGAUCUAUGAGCCCUUUAAGGUUAAGUUUUGACAGUGGUAGAACAGGUGAGAGCUUGGACUGUAUAGCUCUCUUCUCAUGAGCUGGAUGUUGUUAUCCAGAGAAGAAAGCAAAGUGCACAUCACUAGUAUUGAGGCUAACCACAACCACAAGCUCAGAGCAAUCUACAAUCUACAGCAGAAACCCAGAGUGGUAAAACUGCAACUGGAAUGAGGCAUAGAGAUGAGUCAAGUACGAGGGUUGCUCCAAAAGUAAUGCCUCCUGUUUUAUUCCGUUGGCCCAUUAUGUCAGUAGCAGAUGAUGGCAGUAGGGACUGAACCUUCCCACCAAUAUUCUGUUACAUUUUGUUGCUGUGUGACAGAUGGCAGCAGAGGGGCAGUCUGACAAAAUGGUGUCUGACAUGGAAGUGUGUAUGAAACAAAGGUGAAAGAUAAGGAAAGCUGGGACCGCAGAAAUUUAUCUGGUAAUUGCUGAGAUCUGUGUCCACGGCAAAUGUAUUCUGCACAGAAAGAGAGCGGAUGCACUGUUCCACAUCUACCAAAGCAUCAAAUGACGUUUUUCAGGGCAUUGCUGCUGUAACAUAUUGUGUAAAGAAACUAGAUCAGAAAUACUGAAACACAUAUAAAAAAAGAUAACGUGUCUUUCCAUCCACAUUGUCAAUAGAUUCAGAGCAGGAACAGUGCCAGAUUAAAGCAAAGCAAAUAUUUGCAGUAUAAUAUUUUAUUCAUCAGAAAUUCUUCAAGUUUUUGAUGGAUAUUUUUGGCUGAUACAGAAAUUCUUUAACUACAAAGUUUUAUUUGAGUGUUUUCAGAAACGCUGCUGAAUAUGAGUCUCUUAAGACUGAAAUCUUCUUAAAAAAAAACAACAAAAACAAACAAACAAAAAAACCCACAUAGAUAGAACAGAGCAUUCAUUUUUCUAUACAUUUACAUAAGUCUUUGGAGGUUUUUAGUGUGCAGUGGAUAAACUGAUGGAUUUAAAUGACACAGAUAUCCUCAGCGCAAAAUCUCAGAUCCUGGAGCUUUUAUUUACCAAAGGAAGCCAAACUCAAAACAUAUUUUGUUUACCUUUGGCCAUAUUUUCUUCAAGAUAUUACUUCAAAUGCAAGAGGGCAUGCCAUCUUAGGAAUAAUGUCUCUCUUUAUACAUCUUUAACAGAUUUCCUUCCUUCCUUCCUUCCUUCCUUCCUUCCUUCCUUCCUUCCUUCCUUCCUUCCUUCCUUCCUUCCUUCCUUCCUU